UACAUGGGGUGCAAGCGUUGCUCGGAAUUAUUGGGCGUAAAGCGCACGUAGGCGGUUUGUUAAGUCGGAUGUGAAAUCCCUCGGCUCAACUGAGGAAGUGCAUCCGAAACUGGCAGGCUUGAGUACUAAAGAGGGUCGCGGAAUUCCCGGUGUAGAGGUGAAAUUCGUAGAUAUCGGGAGGAACACCGGUGGCGAAGGCGGCGACCUGGGUAGAUACUGACGCUGAGGUGCGAAAGCGUGGGGAGCAAACAGG
rnacentral:rRNA from 1 species